rnacentral:misc_RNA from 1 species
GAAGUAUAUUGUCUGUUUUACAACAUGGCAUGUUUAGGACAAGCAGCUAGAUAGUUUCGCAUGCAGUCAGGCCAUUUGUAUCCAGGAUGAGAGAUUCAACUUUAACUUGGUCAGGAUUAGCCUAAUGGCUUGUGUGGUUGGGCAGGUUUUGUUGAUAAUAGCAAGACUGAAUAUAAAAUUGCCUUUGGUUCAGUGAACAUUGGGUUGACAAAUUGUUUUAAUGAAGAUGUAAUCAUUUGAAUGUGAC